CUACGGGUUGCAGCAGUGGGGAAUAUUGGACAAUGGGGGAAACCCUGAUCCAGCAAUGCCGCGUGUGUGAAGAAGGCCUGCGGGUUGUAAAGCACUUUCGGUUGGGAGGACUGCUUCUAGCACUAAUAUUGUUGGAAGUUGACGUUACCUUCAGAAGAAGCACCGGCUAACUCCGUGCCAGCAGCCGCGGUACUACGGAGGGGUGCAAGCGUUAAUCGGAAUGUACUGGGCGUAAAGCGCGCGUAGGCGGCUAGAUCAGUCGGGUGUGAAAGCCCCGGGCUUAACCUGGGAACUGCAUCCGAUACUGGCUAGCUUGAGUACAGGAGAGGAGAGUGGAAUUCCACAUGUAGCGGUGAAAUGCGUAGAUAUGUGGAGGAACACCAAUGGCGAAGGCAGCUCUCUGGCCUGAUACUGACGCUGAGGUGCGAAAGCGUGGGGAGCAAACAGGAUUAGAUACCCUUGUAGUC
rnacentral:rRNA from 1 species